GCUUGUCCUAUUUACAAUGGAGCAUCAAGCAGUGUUUUGGGAGGAGAGCUUUUAUUCAGUGGUGGUAGCCAUGAGACUGGCGCUCUCUUGACAGCUGUAAACUUUCUAUUUCAGCCUUUAAACUUGAAUGCUAGUACUUCUCUGACAAUAACAGUUUGGCCAACUUUGAAGGUUUGAAGGAAAUACAUCACUAUUACCGAACUGCCGUACAACCACAACCACGGUGUGUGGUGGGGGAGAAGUUUCUUGAGCUGACUGGCUUGUGGCUUGAUGCUAUUGUUCUCAUUAUCUUUAAGCUGAAGCUCUGCGACUGCCAUCCCUGGUAAAGGUCUGACCAGCUGAGUCAGUCACUGUGCAACCAACAGCCCUUUCUGUCUGUUGAGGCUGUAGGAGGAUCUUGUGCAACUUUCAGACUUGAGCUGGACCCCAAAGACAAGGAAGCAGACUGUGAUAGAAAACUGUAUAGAUAGCCCCCAGAAGACCCCAGUACUGAGGAGGAAGACACCUGCACUGUGAAGAUUAUGAGCUGCUCAGUGAAGACCUCAGGAGUCAUGACGACAACUUGUAACCCUAUCCCAUUUUGCUUGAGGAAGACUGAUUCUGUCAGCCUUGGGAUCUAGGACAGUGAAAAGAAUAUUAAUUCCUUUCGGGGGGAUUCUAAAUAUUUAAAGCUUGUCAUGGAGUCCUUCAAAGGCUGCUCAGAAAAAAAGAGGAACAACAGAAACAAGAAACUUCUACUCUAUUAUGGUGACAGUGUCAUUUGUGUUGGAUAAAGAAGCAAGGAAGGAGGUAAGGAAGAGCUGUCAGGAUGGGCAAUUUUAUAAAUACUUCUAGAAAACGUUAUUCAGAGUAGUACAAAAUAUGCAACCAGCUGAUGAGCUGAAAUUAAAUAAUGGAAAAAUUAGACUAAACUUCAGGAUAAAGUAUUGCUGUAAUAUUCUAAUCAAAUGUUUGCAGAAUAAGAAUCUAAUUAGGGUUUUUCCCCUCCAUAUUCUGCCAUAUUCUCUUUCUUUAAUCUUGAUUCUUUGAUCCUGUAGUCAAGUCAAUAUUAUUUUUUGUCAAUAUACCUCUUUUUUCUUCACUGGUAUCCAUGAUAGCUACCUAACACUGCAGGGAUGAGAAAUCAAAUCAAAAAGAAAGGCUUCAUUCUUAGACACUUCAUAGUCCUGAAGAAGAAAUUGCAUUAAAACAGCUAGUCCCUCUCUAAAACUAACAUCCAGCUGUGUAUCAACAAAUGUCUCUUACUGAAUUUGUUUUGUACAGCUUCUGUUUCAUUUUUUUCAGGACAAACUGGUGGUUUUACACACAUAAUCAGGUAUACUCCUAAACAUUUUAUAAUUGGUUCUUUAAAAUUCACUUCUCAAGUGCUUGUUUUUUAUUCCACAAAAGAAAAUUUGUUAAAAAUGGAAAUAAUCUUCAAAGGACUUAUUUCUUUAGAUCUGUGUUCCUAUUUCUUUCUUUCCUGAUGUGGCAGCUGAACAGAGAACAUUCAGUUAAUUCAUUCUGUUGCUGAGAAGGAGAUAUCAUGUUGGGGGCAUGUUCUUCAGAUACAGAAGCCUGUUUUCCAUGUCAGAGUUGAAAGCAUUGGUACUGUCUGUUGAGCAAUAAAUGUCUAUGACAAACCUCCAAAGCUAGCAACUGAAUCUUUUGUUUCUUCCAGGUUCAUGCACACCUCUCAGUUUGUGCUGAUCCAGUCAGACAAUUAUGGUUGAGUGACUUUUUUCAUUGUAAUUUCUCUGUCAUUGACUUUUUCAUCAUGAAUUCUCUAGUCUUUCUCCAUCACAUCACCUCUAUAUUAAAUUAUAUGACCAAAAGUAAUAAAUUAGGAUAAACUGAUACAACACUAAGCCAUAAUCAAUCAUCUUUUCUAUUAAAGCAUUUUUCUAAUUGGUUCUCUACAGUUUGCACAUUUUUUCCUCCCAAGUUUGCAAAUGUAUUCAAUUGUAUGUCAGUUUCAUUGAAUAACAUCCUUCAUAGGAUAGCUACAAACCAUUAUGUAGCUGGGUUUUUUUUCCCCCAAAGGUUUAACUCUUGCUCCAGGGAACAGUUCUGCAGCUUCCGAAACAUGCCCAAAAUACAUUGUUUGCAUAUCCCAAAUUAGAAUUACACUACUUUCAUUUUUGAGAAAUGUAUUGAAAUGAGUGGAAUGAUCUCACCUUUGAUAAGACUAUGCUAUGUGUGCAACUUGUCAUAGAACUUUUACUUUGUAUAUUUUUUUAUUCACAUUUGCUGUAGGGUACUGUUACAAAAUUGAGUUCAUUUGCAUUUCUUGUACUUUUAUAUAUUUUUAUAGUAGUCUUAAUUAAGGAUGGAGACCGUUCAUCUUGUUAAACUUGCAUAGUGUUGCAACCUUCUAAUAAAGCUGAGAAAAUAAAAAUGUAA